rnacentral:rRNA from 1 species
UACGAAGGGGGCUAGCGUUGUUCGGAAUUACUGGGCGUAAAGCGCGUGUAGGCGGUUGUCCAAGUUGGAUGUGAAAGCCUUGAGCUCAACUCAAGAAAUGCAUUCAGGACUGGAUGACUAGAGGACCGGAGAGGAUAGUGGAAUUCCCAGUGUAGUGGUGAAAUACGUAGAGAUUGGGAAGAACACCAGUGGCGAAGGCGGCUAUCUGGACGGUUUCUGACGCUAAGACGCGAAAGCGUGGGGAGCAAACAGG